AUGAAUUUCUACCCCUCACCCACCCUGGUGAAGCUGGCAAAACAGAGUCUACUGAGGGAUGAAUACUUGGCCAUUUCUGCUCUCAGGGACCUGCCCAAUAUGAUGUUCCCAGUGAUGUUUAAGGAGGCAUUUAUUGAUAGACAUACAAAUAUCUUUACCGCCAUGAUACCUGUGUGGCCCUUCCCAUACCUUUCUUUAGAAAUGUUGAUAAAGAAACUCAGCCUAGACAUUUUGAAGGCUAUUUUUGAGGGGCUAAAUAUACUGUUUUCAAAACCAGGUAGGCAGGAUCAAGUAGGUGCAAACUCAGAGAUCAUUUUGGGGCAAACAGAUUAUGAUGGUUGUGGGAUAUAGAGUGGAUCCCAUGAAGUUGAAGGAGUUCAUGGAACAGGAGCAGCCAAUGGAGAACAGUCCUGACUAUGAGAUGAAGAAACAACUACAGGUGAAGAUGCAAUUACAACUCAAGGAGUACAGCCUUGAUGCAUGUGCCACAUACUUGUUGCAGUGGGCCCAGCAAAGAAAAGAUUCCAUUCUUCUAUUCUGUAGAAAGCUGAAGAUUCAGGGCUCAAGCAAAGCCAUAGUCAUAGAAAUCUUCAAAAUUUUACAUGCAGACUGUAUAAAAGACCUAGAGCUAAGUUGUCUUUGCCUAGAUGAUUGGGAUUUUCUUAAUCCCUACCUGAAACAGAUGAACAAUAUUCUCUCACUCACACUAAGUCAUAGCACAGAUUCUUCAGUAUGGGUGACUCUAGAAAUCUUGAUGAGGAGAAUGUGAUCACAGUGAUUUAUCAACUUCCCACUCUCCACCACCUCCAGGAACUCUAUGUAGAGGAUGUCUUUUUUAUAGAUGGCAACCUGAAAGAAUGCCUCAGAUAAGGAAAAACUGAAAGAGUCCAGUAAACCAGAGAAAACACAUCUCUUCUCUUUGCUUUUCUAUUUCCUGCCCUAUUGCCCGAAUAUUUUUGAACUCAAAUGUUUCCACCUGAUUAAUAUAAGUUUAAGUCAUUUACUCCUUGAACCUCUUGGGUUUCUCCUUGAGAGACUUAGAGAUACACUGGAAUGCCUAUAAUUGAAGUCCUGUGAAAUGGGGGAAACUCACUUCAAUGCCCUGCUACCUGCCCUAAGUCAAUGUUACCAACUCGCAGAAGUCAAUUUCUAUGGUAAUAAACUCUCUCUGCUUUCCCUGAAACAAAUUCUACACCACACAACCAACCUUAGCCAGCUAAUUGGUGAACUGUACCCUGCCCCUCAGGAGUGCUAUGAUAAAAGAGAUGUAAUACUACCUCACAGAUUAGAAAUUUUUUGCCCUGAACUCCUGGAUAUACUCAUGGCCAUAAGACAGCCAGAGGAUGUCACCUUUGCUACAACCAGAUGCUCUAAGUAUGGUGUGUCCUAUGUUUAUGAUCUGGAGAACCAAUGUUGCUUUUUUGAAAAAAAACCC
rnacentral:lncRNA from 1 species